AAUUCAUAGUUCAUACUCAAUCACAUACAUACACAAUUUAUCACAUACACUCGAUCUCAAUCACAAUGGUAUAAUAUCAAAAUAGCAUGUUAUCACACCUCAUGGAUCAUAUGCACUUUACUUAUGAACUAUGCAAUACACACAUUUAGUCAAUUGUUUUCAAAAUUAUUUUAACUCGUCGAGUUCCCACAGUGGUCCCCA
rnacentral:lncRNA from 1 species